CUUAGUGUGGAGGAGGGAUGGUGGAGGGCUCGUGGUGGAGCGCGGCGGUGGGGCUGGGGCUAGGGUUACUGGGAAUCACAGGCUCCGCCACGAUGAUCCGGCGGCGGCGGCGCGGGAAGGGCGGCAAGAGUGGCGGCGGUGGCAUUGCGGAGAGAUGGCGGCGCCGGCGAUCAUCGCUCGAUGAGAGCGAGCAGCAGCAGCAGCAGGAUUUGGAUUCCCAGGAUCGAUUCGCUUGCAAGCGCGUGUGCGCGUCGGAUCGGAUGAUGAAGCGAGUGGGCAGCUUUGCAAAGGAUGUGACGCCCAAUUCGUGCGUCACUGUGUGUGGGGUCUCGGAUUUGGAUGCUUGCGCCGAGGCGUGCGCUCGAUCCGUUUGUUCUACCCAGCAUCACGUCCCCAAUUGGAACGACGUUUGUAUGCGGCGAUGCCAGAGCGAGUGCCUAAGAUCAUGAGGGAGCUAUCAAUGCAGAGAAAUGAGAGCUCUUGUGUGAGCUUACUGUGAUCCCAGCAGUGCUUGCGCCUUGUCGUUCCAUUUGUGACAAGAUCAAGACACUUCCAGCUUCGCAAUGUCCACAUUCAGCUCUUGCUCGUGACUUCCGAUCUGCGACAGGAGAUCCUGGUACGAGCUUAUGCACUCCAUGAUCUUGCCACUCCGCUUGUACCUAUAGGCAGAAAUAAACUACAAGUACCUCACACCCAGAGUGCGGCUCCGCAAACUUGAAUCUUGCUUUUCUGGCCUAUCUCUGCCAUGAAAGGAAUUGUUUGACAGCCGACAACAGCCUCACUUACGCUGAAUUAAUUCGCGCCAACGAAACGCUGUGAACUGAUGUUUCCCAAGACACAAGUGGAACUGGAACUUACAGGACAAGAGCUUAUCAUCUGGCAUCUUCUUCCUUGAUCUUCUCUGGACUGUAGAACUACGCGUUGUAAACUGGCGGCUCGUGACCAAACACUGGAUCGAUAAUAUCCUAUGAAUUCCAGAUGACGAGAAGAAGCAAAACGCGGUUAGUGAGGCCAAGGAAGCUCGGCUGCAGCGUGAUCUUGCUGUGGGAUGACAUUGGCGAGCCACCGGGAUGCUCUGGAAUCUGGCCGAGAAGGCUAGAAAAGCUUCUAACACUGCUGCUGUCCACAACGAGUCUUCCUACAGCCACAGGGACGCGUGACGUGACCCGUUCAUAACGUCGAUUGCGCGAGCGAUCAGGUAAAGCAGAAAAAGGAGGAAAGAGAUCUCUUUGAGGAAAACAGCAGGGUUUUCGCAGGCAAGGCUAGCUAAUUUCUGGAUUCGCUGCCAGAGGCAAUCUGGCCUGCUAAAAUCCCAUUCAAGACACUGAAAGACACAUGUAUGUGUAGUAAGUUUCUAGCUCCAAACUCGAUACUGGGGAAGAACAGUAAGAAGCGAUAGACGCUCGAAGCAGUA